GACGAACGCUGACGGCGUGCUUAACACAUGCAAGUCGAAGGGAGUGGCGAACGGGUGAGUAACACGUGAGUAACCUGCCCUUUUCUUUGGGAUAAGCCUGGGAAACUGGGUCUAAUCCUGGAUGGUUUGUGAUGGGCUCGCGGCUUAUCAGCUUGUUGGUGGGGUGAGGGCUUACCAAGGCUUUGACGGGUAGCCGGCCUGAGAGGGUGGUCGGGAACCCUGGGACUGAGAUACGGCCCAGACGCGGCCGGGGGGCAGAAGUGGGCGAUAUUGGACAAUGGACGAAAGUCUGAUGCAGCGACGUCGUGUGGGGGAUGAAGGCCUUCGGGUUGUAAACGCCUGUCGCCCGCGGAAUGGUAGUGGGUAAAGAAGCGCCGGCUAACUACGUGCCAGCAGCCGCGGUAAUUC
rnacentral:rRNA from 1 species